rnacentral:rRNA from 1 species
GGAUGACCGUAAGGACAUGUUGGAGCGUUAACUAGUGAGAAUUCCGGUAUGAGUAGCGAAAGUAAGAUGAAGUAUAGGGGCUGACGCCUGCCCAGUGCUGGAAGGUUAAAAGGAGGACUUAGCUUCGGCGAAGGUCUUAAUUGAAGCCCCAGUGAACGGCGGCCGUAACUAUAACGGUCCUAAGGUAGCGAAAUUCCUUGUCGGGUAAGUUCCGACCCGCAUGAAAGGCGUAAUGAUUUGGGCGCUGUCUCAACAAUAGACUCGGUGAAAUUUAAAUUCCAGUGAAGAUGCUGGGUACCCGCGACAGGACGGAAAGACCCCGUGGAGCUUUACUGUAGCUUGAUAUUGAAUGUUUGUGCUGCAUGUGCAGGAUAGGUAGGAGACUUUGAAGUCGGAACGCUAGUUUCGAUUGAGUCACCCUUGAGAUACUACCCCUGUUGUAUGAACGUUCUAACUCUGAUCAGUUAUCCUGAUCGAAGACAGUG